UACGAAGGGGGCUAGCGUUGCUCGGAAUCACUGGGCGUAAAGCGCACGUAGGCGGCUUACUAAGUCAGGGGUGAAAUCCUGGAGCUCAACUCCAGAACUGCCUUUGAUACUGGUGAGCUUGAGUCCGGAAGAGGUGAGUGGAACUGCGAGUGUAGAGGUGAAAUUCGUAGAUAUUCGCAAGAACACCAGUGGCGAAGGCGGCUCACUGGUCCGGUACUGACGCUGAGGUGCGAAAGCGUGGGGAGCGAACGGG
rnacentral:rRNA from 1 species